CUUCCGUCUCUGGAACUGUGAGGUUGUCUACACGACUGGAUGGUGUGGUGAAAUGCUGGUUGUUCUGAAUCUGAAACUGGAAGUUUUGUGAUUCGGUUAUGGUUGGUGUUUCGCCUCGUGUCGCUAGCCUUGGGUCGUCAAAUAGGCUUCGUCGUACUCCGGGAGAAAAUUGCAGCUUUUAAAAAGAACAUCGCUUGGUUUAGUUGCAGUCAUAUCUGUCGAACGAAAUUUGAAAUGAAUAAAUAUGGAAAAAGAGAAAAGUGACACCUUGAUAGUUGAAAAAUAGUUUUAAGUAUCGGGAGAUUGGGCCCUUCCGAUACUUUGAUUGAUACGAACUGAUUUGGUAGACUGAUAUUGGUCACUUCUUGUACGCACAAUAAAAAUAUCCAACAAAUUAAUAAUGGAGAAAGUAAGC